rnacentral:rRNA from 1 species
GACGAACGCUGGCGGCGUGCUUAACACAUGCAAGUCGAACGGAAAGGCCCUGCUUUUGUGGGGUGCUCGAGUGGCGAACGGGUGAGUAACACGUGAGUAACCUGCCCUUGACUUUGGGAUAACUUCAGGAAACUGGGGCUAAUACCGGAUAGGAGCUCCUGCUGCAUGGUGGUGGUUGGAAAGUUUCGGCGGUUGGGUAUGGACUCGCGGCUUAUCAGCUUGUUGGUGGGGUAGUGGCUUACCAAGGCUUUGACGGGUAGCCGGCCUGAGAGGGUGACCGGCAAAAUUGGGACUGAGAUACGGCCCAGACUCCUAGGGGAGGCAGCAGUGGGGAAUAUUGCACAAUGGGCGGAAGCCUGAUGCAGCAACGCCGCGUGCGGGAUGACGGCCUUCGGGUUGUAAACCGCUUUCGCCUGUGACGAAGCGUGAGUGACGGUAAUGGGUAAAGAAGCACCGGCUAACUACGUG